GGGGAAUAUUGGGCAAUGGACGCAAGUCUGACCCAGCAACGCCGCGUGAAGGAAGAAGGCUUUCGGGUUGUAAACUUCUUUUAAGGGGGAAGAGUAGAAGACGGUACCCCUUGAAUAAGCCACGGCUAACUACGUGCCAGCAGCCGCGGUAAUACGUAGGUGGCAAGCGUUGUCCGGAUUUACUGGGUGUAAAGGGCGUGUAGCCGGGAAGGCAAGUCAGAUGUGAAAACUCGAGGCUCAACCUCGGGCUUGCAGUGGGUACGGGCUGACUAGAGUGCGGUAGGGGUGACUGGAAUUCCUGGUGUAGCGGUGGAAUGCGCAGAUAUCAGGAGGAACACCGAUGGCGAAGGCAGGUCACUGGGCCGCAACUGACGCUGAGGAGCGAAAGCAUGGGGAGCGAACA
rnacentral:rRNA from 1 species